rnacentral:rRNA from 1 species
GGGUGCGCGUGCUAUAACAUGCAGUCGAGCGAAUCAAUGGGAGCUUGCUCCCGUUGGUUAGCGGCGGACGGGAGAGUAGCACGUGGGCAACCUGCCUGUAGGACUGGGAUAACUUCGGGAAACCGGAGCUAAUACCGGAUAAUUCUUUUCCUCUCAUGAGGAAAAGCUGAAAGUCGGCUUCUACUGGCACUUACAGAUGGGCCCGCGGCGGAUUAGCUAGAUGGCGAGGUAACGGAUCACCAGGGCGACGAUGGGUAGGCGACCUGAGAGGGUGAUCGGUGACACUGGGACUGAAACCCGGCCCAAACUCCUACGGGAGGCAGCAGUAGGGAAUCUUCCACAAUGGACGAAAGUCUGAUGGAGCGACGCCGCGGGAGCGAUGAAGGCCUUCGGGUCGUAAAGCUCUGAUGUUAGGGAAAAACAAGUAUCGGAGUAACUGACGGUACCUUGACGGUACCUAACCAGAAAGUCACGGCUAACUACGUGCCAGCAGCCGAGGUAAUACGUAGGUGGCAAGCGUUGUGCGGAAUUAUUGGGCGUAAAGCGCGCGCAGGCGGUCCUGUAAGUCUGAUGAGAAAGCCCACGGCUCAACCGUGGAGGGUCAUUGGAAACUGGAUGACUUGAGAGCAGAAGAGGAAAGCGGAAUUCCACGUGUACGGUGAAAUGCGUAGAGAUGCGGAGGAACACCAGUGUCGAAGGCCUUUUCUGAUCUUUAACUGACGCUAACGCGCGAAGGUGAGUGAACAAUCAGGAUAUAUACAGGGG